CGUGAAAUUGUUGAAAGGGAAGCGCUCAUGACCAGUCUUGGGCUUGGUUGAUCAUCCAGGGUUCUCCCUGGUUCACUCUUCCAGCCCAGGCCAGCAUCAGUUCGCUGUGGGGGAUAAAGGCUUUGGGAAUGUGGCUCCUCCGGGAGUGUUAUAGCCCAUUGUGUAAUACCCUGUGGUGGACUGAGGUUCGCGCAUCUGCAAGGAUGCUGGCGUAAUGGUCAUCAGCGACCCGUCUUGAAACACGG
rnacentral:rRNA from 1 species